UAGUAGUACUUAGACCCGUCCCAAUGUCCUAUGGGACGCAGCAGUAGGGAAUCUUCCACAAUGGACGAAAGUCUGAUGGAGCAACGCCGCGUGAGUGAUGAAGGGUUUCGGCUCGUAAAACUCUGUUGUUGGAGAAGAACGGGUGUCAGAGUAACUGUUGACAUCGUGACGGUAUCCAACCAGAAAGCCACGGCUAACUACGUGCCAGCAGCCGCGGUAAUACGUAGGUGGCAAGCGUUGUCCGGAUUUAUUGGGCGUAAAGCGAGCGCAGGCGGUUUUUUAGGUCUGAUGUGAAAGCCUUCGGCUUAACCGGAGAAGUGCAUCGGAAACCGGGAGACUUGAGUGCAGAAGAGGACAGUGGAACUCCAUGUGUAGCGGUGAAAUGCGUAGAUAUAUGGAAGAACACCAGUGGCGAAGGCGGCUGUCUGGUCUGCAACUGACGCUGAGGCUCGAAAGCAUGGGUAGCGAACAGGAUUAGAUACCCUAGUAGUCCAAGCUGUAAUCCAUGAAUGCUACGUGAAGCAGCAGU
rnacentral:rRNA from 1 species